rnacentral:rRNA from 1 species
GACGAACGCUGGCGGCGUGCUUAACACAUGCAAGUCGAACGGAAAGGCCCUGCUUUUGUGGGGUGCUCGAGUGGCGAACGGGUGAGUAACACGUGAGUAACCUGCCCUUGACUUUGGGAUAACUUCAGGAAACUGGGGCUAAUACCGGAUAGGAGCUCCUGCUGCAUGGUGGGGGUUGGAAAGUUUCGGCGGUUGGGGAUGGACUCGCGGCUUAUCAGCUUGUUGGUGGGGUAGUGGCUUACCAAGGCUUUGACGGGUAGCCGGCCUGAGAGGGUGACCGGCCACAUUGGGACGGAGAUACGGCCCAGACUCCGACGGGAGGCAGCAGUGGGGAAUAUUGCACAAUGGGCGGAAGCCUGAUGCAGCAACGCCGCGUGCGGGAUGACGGCCUUCGGGUUGUAAACCGCUUUCGCCUGUGACGAAGCGUGAGUGACGGUAAUGGGUAAAGAAGCACCGGCUAACUACGUG